GUAAUCGCCUAGCAAAUGCAAUAACUCCCAUGUUCCGAGUUCUAAGGGGCAGGAGUUACAUAGUAAAAGCAUUCUUCAUCCUAUUUAAGGGGAGAUAAGUGGGGGAUCUAAAAAAAAAUUUUUAGUCUCAACUCUUUGCUUUUGUACUUCGGUUCUUUCUAUUAUUUCUUAUUUUUAGUUGAUUUAAGUAUCAAACAAUCUCCUAUCGGAUAAUUUUCAACAAAUAGAUUUAAUUUUAUAGAUUUUUCACUAUCCAAUAAUCAGACGCAAUAUCUCGACUUGCGACCGAUCACCGAAGAUUUACGACAACAGAUUUAUCCAAAAAAUAUUAAAAUAGUAAGAAAAAGAUAAACAGAAUAUUAAAAGAUAACUAAAAUAUUAACAGCCGUGAAAGGACCAAAACAUUAACAGCUGUGAAAGGACUCAGGAGAGCAAGAUUGACAAAGAUACAACAGUCCGGCACAGGGAAGGACAGCAAACACCUGAGCUUGAGCUUGAGCUUGAGAGAAGAAUAAACGCAGCAAGAAGAUGAAGCAGUGAAAACCUAUAAAUCAAAUCAAGUACUAGCCAAUCUUUGAAUCAGACCUUUCAAUUUAUGCCAGACUUCGCUACGGUGAGGUAGGAAUUUUGAGUUGUAUAAGAUGGAUCAUUCAUUGAAAAAAAGAAGACCAGCAGCUGUAAUGAAAGAGGUAGAGGAUAGUUUGUUCUAGAAGAUCUGAUUGGUACGCUCUUUUCAAAUGAUCUAAGUUAUGAUAGCGAUCGAUAUUAGGAUGACAGGCUGAGUAUUCUUAUCAAAAUUUUUACAUCUCCGAUCGAAAUAUAGGCCAA
rnacentral:lncRNA from 1 species